rnacentral:tRNA from 1 species
GCCCGGGUAGCUCAGUCGGUAGAGCAUUGGACUUUUAAUCCAAGGGUCCAGGGUU